rnacentral:rRNA from 1 species
CGGACGACACGGGUAGCAAGUACCUGGUGGCGACCGGCGCACGGGUGCGUAACGCGUAUGCAACCUGCCCCCAUCAGGGGAAUAGCCCGCCGAAAGGCGGAUUAAUGCCCCAUAGGCCCAGGGCGCCGCAUGGCGCUAUGGGUAAAGCUCCGGCGGAUGGGGAUGGGCAUGCGUGCCAUUAGCUAGUUGGGCGGUAACGGCGCACCAAGGCGACGAUGGCUAGGGGGUCUGAGAGGAUGGUCCCCCACACUGGUACUGAGACACGGACUAGACUCCUACGGGAGGCAGCAGUGAGGAAUAUUGGUCAAUGGGCGGAAGCCUGAACCAGCCAUUGCCGCGUGCAGGAUGACGGCCCUACGGGUUGUAAACUGCUUUUCCCCGGGAAGAAUAAGCCCCUCGUGAGGGGUGAUGCCGGUACCGGGGGAAUAAGGAUCGGCUAACUCCGUGCCAGCCGCAGC